UUUGACAAGGUCUGGAUCCCGGGGCUCCUACAAAAGUUAAUAUCAUUUAAUUUCCCGGACUGCUACAUCCAUUUACUAAGCAGCUACUUUCAAAAUAGAAAAUUUUACGUGUCAAUAGACAAAGGUCAGUCUACUAUCCGGCCAAUCACCGCAGGUGUACCGCAGGGCUCGGCAAUUUCGCCAUUCCUGUACAAUAUAUAUACUGCAGACAUCCCAGUUACUCACUCCACCAUUCAAAUGUACGCCGAUGACACAGUAAUUUUCACACACGACCCUAACCUUCCCUACGCUGUUCUCCGCACUCAACUACAAUUAAAUGAUUUAGAACUCUGGUUCACUAAAUGGAAAAUUAAAACUAACCCAGCCAAGUCGCAAGCUCUAAAUCUCACCUCUCGCAGACUAAAACCCUCUAAAAACGUAACUCUAAAUAAUGUAAUAAUUCCUUAUACUGAAACUGCCACGUAUUUAGGUUUAACUAUAGACAAUAAGCUUCGUUGGACCACACACAUUCACAAAGUGCGGGGGGCAGCGAUGGCCAAACUAUCCCUACUGUACCCUCUCCUCAAGAGUAAUAAACUACCCCGCCACUUAAAAUUACUCCUUUACGUGUCUAUUGUCCGUUCCGCGUUUAUGUACGGUAACGAAGUCUGGGGCAAUGUUACCAACUACCAAAAACAAAUUUUGCAGGUAAUUCAAAAUAAAUUUCUCAGGAUAAUAGGCGAUGCGCCCCCACUCACACGGACAAUAGACUUACACAGCCGACUUAAAAUUCCUCUUGUAAAAGAUUACUUACUCUUCCGAAAUAAUAAAUUCUUCAAGAAACUCGCACUUCAUGCUAACCCAGAAAUUAAACGCCUAGGCGAUUACAACCCCGAUAUAAACCGCCGCUUAAAACGCCCCAAAAUGACACCUAAUUAAAAUUAUUUAAAUAGAUUAGACACAAAAACUCCGUGCUCCUCCUACAUUGCAGCGCGGAUCAUAUAAUUAAAUCUAUAAAUCUAUAAUUGAUUAAUUAAUUAAUUAAAUAUUACCGACCGUUAAAAUCACCUUAAUUACGCAACGCAGCUUCACUGUCAGCCUUGGCGCCACCUACAUCAUAUAAUUAGAAGUAAAUUCGAAAAUUCGAGAAUCUCACCAAACUUUCGGCAAAAAUUAAGACAUGCCAACAGGCCAGACCUACAGUAUUCAAAAUUUUAAUUAGCCACCAUCGGGGCAGGGGAUGUUUUACCCUGCCUCUCCCUCCUUCCCUGGUAGGCAGGACAGGAGGGGGAAACCAAAGGGAAAGGAAGGGGGGCUGAAACUGUGGCUCUCAGUCCUCCUCUCCACACAUUCAGCUGGGAAUCAGCACUCAAUAACCAAAGACGAGGGGGGAGGGGAGGGGCUAUCCCUCUCUUUCCUCCCAUUCCGAUAAUGACGACCACUUGGGAGGACAAGAGCCCUGACAGGCUUGUACCUCCCCCGCGCUGAGGGGCUGCGCCCCAGUGAUGAUCAAGCGGCGGCCUUCUGAAAGUUGAGGCCAACAUGUCCUCCCGCCGCGAACAGCUGAUUGUGGGCCGUUUUCUGUUGUUUUGCUAUUAGGAUACAUUGAAGCUAUGUGCAGCUGCCUGUGAAAUUGGUUUAGAAAUGUGUUGCGUACGGUUGUAAUGAAAAAUCUGUCAAAGGAGCAUCGGUGUCGUUUCACAGUUUUCCUGGAGAUGAAUUGAGGAAGAAGUGGACUCUAUCUGAGGCGGGAAAGUUUUGUGCCAUCCAAGCAUUUCAGAAUUUGUUCUAAACACUUCUCCCAAGAUUGUUUUGACAAGGAAGCUUGUUCCAACUGUUUUUGACUUUCCGGCACAUUUACAACCUAACAAUGCUAAGAGGAAAGCACCUACCGAGAGAAGCCAAAUUAUGACUCAGCCGCAUGAAAACGCCACCACCUCGCAGCAAUCCACUACCAAGGAUAUUCAUACAAUUGGAAAAAAGUUAAGAUUGGCAUAUGUAGGUGACUUCAAUGAGAAGAACCUGACUUCCCAGCAGAAGUAAGAAGUGCCUUGGUGUUGCAAAGGAAAUAAGAUUAAAAUACAGUAAGAAACUGAAACUCCUUCGUCAGCGGUGUAAACGAGCCACUGCAAAAAUAGUGAGCCUUCAGGCAGUUAUCUCGCAUCUGCAGGACAAGAAACUGAUGGGUGAUGUUGCUGCAGAUACACUACAGAAAUAUUUGCCACCUGCUGUUGCGGAUCUCAUCCAGCGAUGGAAGAAGGGGCCAACCAGAGCUGAAGAUGUUUGCUCUGACACUGAAUUUCUACUCGGUAAAUAUGUAGUUCAGCGGUAUUUGCGAGAAAAAAAAUGUUAAAAAUCUGAAAAUACUUUUAUUGUAUGCUCUUCAACUUCCUCUUUUCAUUUAAAGCGGCGGAGAUAAGAAAUUCCAAAUACUUUAGGAGAUAUCGCCGUUCUUAUUUUGCUAUACAAGACCUGUGUAAUCAUUCGACAGUCACAAUUUUUUUAUUGCCGUGUGUUUGUGAAUGCCUAAUUAAUGAAAAUGGUUGAUUAGGUCAGGUCAGUUACAUUAUAAAUACUUUGAAACUAAGCGUACAUAAAAAAUAAUAUGAAUUAAUUUCAAUGGUUUUUUAGUUUUAAAGUAUUUAUAAUGUAACUGACCUGACCUAACAAACCGGGACAAAGGAUGAACAGUAACAACUCACGUAAAAAUUUUUUGUUACUUAUUACUUGCGCAACAAUAUCCAAAUAACAAAUAAGACUUUAAAAUUAGAAACGUUAAAAACUCACCUAAGUUGGAGGCGGUAAUUAAACACUGUUUUAAACAAUAAAUGAACUAAAUAAUAACAUAUUGGUUCAUUUGAAUUCUGGCCUAUCACGAACAAUCACGUGACAUCAUUAUCCAAUAAAAAAAUAGAUACACGUAAACAAGAAACAAUGUUGAAUGCCACAUGAAUGCACUGGUAUUGUGAUGAAAUUUAAAAAUUCGAUAUCUCCUAAAGUAUUUGGAAUUUCUUAUCUCUGCCGCUUUUAAUUAAAAGAGGAAGUUGAAGAGCAUAUAAUAAAGGUAUUUUCGGAUUUUUAACAUUUUUUUUCGCAAAUACCGCUGAACUACAUAUGAUGAAAUUAAAAAAUUAGAUAUCUCCUAAAGUAUUUGGAAUUUCUUACCUCAACCGCUUUUAAUGAAAAGAGGAAGUUAAAGAGCAUAUAAAAAGGUAUUUUCGGAUUUUUUACAUUUUUUUUCGCAAAUACCGCUCAACUACAUAUUUACCUUCUACUCUCCUAAGGCGUACAAUUAUGUUAGGAAAAUGUUUAUGAAGUGUUUGCCACAUCCUGUUACACUGCAGAAGUGGUAUUCAACUGUUGAUGGAAAGCCAGGCUUCAGUACUGAGGCUUGUACAGCAUUGAAACUGAAGACAGCAUAAAAUGUUACUUGUGGUAAACCUACAUUAUGUUCUUUGAUGUUAGAUGAAAUGGCCAUACGUAAACAUAUAGAAUUUGAUGGUCAGAGUUUCAUUGGAUAUACUGACUUCGGUACAGGGUUGGAUGAUGAUUCCCUACCUGAAGCAAGGGAAGCAUUGGUGUUCAUGACUGUUGCUCUAAAUGGUAGCUGGAAGAUCCCAGUAGGGUAUUUCUUGAUUGCUGGUCUGCUUGUAUAAUAGUCUACCUCAGCAUGUUAAAAAUAUCAAUAAUAAAAAAUAAUUUGCAAUAGAGUUAAAAAAAAUAGCAGAAGAACUGUUUUUCUAUACCUUCAAAGAUAUUGAAGACUUUAUAAAAAUAAAAAAUAAUAGUAAAUAUUUUACAGGGUAAUUUCAAACCUACUUGUAAUUUAUGCUAUUACUAUC